GUGUUAUCUUGCAUUCUGAUACUAUUUUUAGUAAAUUAGUUUGUUUCUCCUCAGAUCAUUGCUGUUGUUUUUAAUGUUUUGGGAUCCCCUGCUUCCCCAUUCCACACGAGUCACCACAAUUGAUGUCAGUUUCUCCUGUAAGAGGAUGGAAAAUGAAACAAAUCUCAUCUCACUUAGAACAGAAGAAAGAGGAGGAGGAGAAAGUAGAGGAAGCAGACACUGCUAGAGAAGAGGAGGAAAAAGGUCCAGGGCAUCCAGAGGGAGAGCUGAGAUCCCCAAUAAGAUCGUGGUCACCAGCGCCCAGGAGGGUAACAAGAAGUCCUGAAAGAGAAGGAGCUGAGCAAGAUACCGUCACCAUUACUGAUUGAUCUCUGAAAAUGAAUUAAAUUUGAGGUCUGAGAAAAGAAUUUUCAUGCCACCCAAAUGAGCCUAUUGUCACCUGGUUACUUCGAUGCUGGGACAACAGUGUGUGGCUAGAUAGUAGAGAAGCUUGCCAACUGGGUGGCAUUGCUAGGGACUCAGCCAUUGACAAAGGUAUUAGUACAUGCCAGAGCCAGGUCUUUACCCUCUGGAAGCAGAUGCUGUUAGCUGUAAAAGAAAGAUACCCCUUCAAAGACGAUCUGAUGCCUGAGAAAAAGAAAUGGACUCAUAUGGAAGAAGGCAUUCAUUAUUUGAGUGAAUAUGCUUGGUGGAAAUGUUACACAGCCCCACUUUCAUUCCUGAUGAACCAGCCCAUAAACUGUCAACAAGGGCCUGAGUAUUUAUCAGUGGUACCAGCAGUUGUUAAUAGACCACAGACAAAGGGGUCUCAAAGACCUGAAUGCAGAGUGAUAGAAAGUCAUUUUUUCAUGAAGUUUGGACAAGGAAAAUUGAUCUUUCUGCACUAGGAAGAAGCUUGUCUGUGCAGGAGAGGGCUUCCUCAGAGGGUGGUUUCAAGGACUCAAUUGGACAAUAUGUUUAUCUUCUUGGAUGCUGAAUAUAAUAAGCUGACGUGAAU
ensembl:lncRNA